rnacentral:rRNA from 1 species
CGGCAACAGCUCAAAUUUGAAAUCUGGUACCUUCGGUGCCCGAGUUGUAAUUUGUAGAGGGUGUCUCGGGGGGAGUACCGGUCCAAGUCCCUUGGAACAGGAUGUCAUAGAGGGUGAGAACCCCGUAUCCGGCUGGCUACUCUCUCCAUGUGAGACCCCUUCGAC